UUACUAAUAAUUCAGACAUUUAAAGACAAAUAAAAAUCAUAAAACUGAUCAAGUUAAAUCCAUUUUUCACAUUUGGAUCCUAAAUGAGGAAAAGCCAAAAUGAUUCACUGAUUUACAUAAUAAAAGAUUUUUGUUUCAGCAUAAAAUAUCUAAUGUUGCUCUUUUUGAGCAAAUCCAGUCGAAUCUUAGAUAUUUAUGUUUUCACUUUCAGGGUCAAGAUGAAUAUUAAAAUCCUCCACAUUGUCGAUAUUUAACAGUAAAUCAAGUCAGAAAUCUGAGAACUGAUCCAAAGACGAAGUCAUGACAAGUCUGAUGACGUCAUGGUGUGGGCGGAGCCACACACCUGUUUCAUCUGAGAAAAUAAGCUGCAGUUUGAUGGAGGAUGAAAGUGAUGAAGAAAAAGAAGAAACAUUUUAUCUCCAGUUUUCCACUCAAUUAGAUUAGUUUACAUAUUUUUACUCAGGUUUAGGCUACAGAAAUGACUGGAAGUCGAUGGAAAGUCCCCACAAAGACCCUCCUGGUUGCUCGUCCAGCAGUCGGUGUUGGUCUGUGGAUCCGGUGGAUUCGUUCUGCAGAAUUCUGAAUAAAAUCAGAUUAAAGGUUUUAUUUUUUUCUUUUGGCCAGAAAACACAGUUACUAGAUUCAUUAACUGAAUUCAUGCGAUUUGCUUUGCCAGCAGAAACAGAAGGUGUCAGGGAGUUCAGCUUGUUCUGAGUUCAAAGGUCACCGUGACAUCACGGUUUGCUUCCUGAAGCUCCUCCUCUUCCUGCUCGAACCGAGCUGGGUCAUUUCUGCCAGACCGUCUCCGGUCCAUCAUGGCUGCAGGUCCAACAAACGCAGACAGCUUCAGAUUCCUGACAGGAUUUUUCUGAGCUCGUUUUGUGUUCAGUUGCUCUGAUGGAGAUGUUCUCAUCAGAUGAACAACAUGUCAGCAGCUUAGACAUCGGUGUUGUUUCCUCCUGACAGAAGACGUGUCGGGAACGCAGCCGCUGUCCGUCUGCAGCUGAAUUGGUUUUCAUGCGGUGAAGCUUCGUCUCUUUCUCAUUAAGUCCUGCAGUCGUUCCUCCUCCUCCUCCUCGUUCGCUUUGAUUUGAUCUUUCUAACAUCUCAUCACUCAGCGCGCUGAGCGAUGCCGCUGCAGCUCCUCACCUCGGAGUCAUGAAUCAUUUAUUCAGAUGAGUCUGACAGCCGUGUCACCGGCCGCUCCAGCACCGACAGGAAGAGAGAGCAGCUUCAUGCUGUGACUGGAAUAACUGCAGAGACGAGUUUCACCCAGCAGAAACUUUACAGUUAUUAUCUUCUGGACAAAAUGCCAGGAUGUUCUCUGUGAAGGGGCAGUUAUUGUUGUCAACAAAAGCAGGAAGUGACGACUUUCCAUCCACCCAUUAAUCCUCAUUUUGUCACGUCUGACUUUAACCAGCUUCAUGUAUUUCCUGGAUUCAAAGCAUUGACCACUGAAUGGAGUCAGAUUUCUGUGUUCAGUCGAGUUUUGGUGAUUUGUAGGUUUUUAUUGUCGACUGAAAUAUUUUAUGUUAUGUAUAUUUAUGCACAUUUUACUGCAACGUAGUUUUUUGUGCAUUUUUGUGCAAUUCCAACAUUUUCUGGAAUUAUCCAACAAACUACCGACCAGGGACAAAUGACUGCAGUUAAACUUUCAUGUUGUUGAAUGUUUGAGUAAAGAUUCAGUUCCAAAACCUAAA